rnacentral:tRNA from 1 species
GGGGCUGUAGCUCAGUCCGGCAGAGCACUUGACUGGCAGUCAAGGGGUCACGGGUUCAAAUCCCGUCAGCUCCA